GUCUCUGCAAGCCACUGUGAACUCAGGUUAGUUGAUUCUGCGUGUUUUCUUGUGGUGUUCUUCACCAUUCUGCCUUCUUUAAUCCUUUCUCCCUAUUUUCUUCAGGAUUCCCUUAACUUGGCCUAGUGUUUGGCUAUGAUGUCUACAUCUGCUUCCAUAAGUUGCUGGUUGAAGACUCUGUUUCUUUUUAUAUUUGUUAUUUUAAGAGGAUCUCCCUCAAUUUUUCAGGUUUGCCUUGAACUUGUGAUCUGUCAGUCUCAACUUCCUCCUUAAAAGCUAUAAUUACAGACCCAUAGUACCAGGCUAUCACAUUUCUUCUGUCCAUAACAAUCAAUCCCAAGAGGUGUGAAAUAGUAUCCCCCUGGAAUUGGAUUUCACAUUCAUUCGUGUAUGUGUAGGACUUCUUUGAGACAUAUCUGUUUAGGUCCUUUGCUGAUUUUCAAUUUGCUUUUUGCUUUUGCUGUUGCAUUGAGUUUCUUAUGUAUUUUGUUUAUUCAUUUUUACAUGCCAUGUAAGUUUUUUUCUUUCCUCUGUGGAGAUAAUUUCUUCACUUUGUUAAUUGCUUUAUUUGCUGUGUAUACAUUUUUUUAGUCUGAAGCAAUCCUGGCUGUACACUACUGCUCUUAUUGCUCAUGCCACAAGGCCAUUAUCUCCAUGAAUCAUUUCAAAUCAUCUUUUUAGUUUCAUUCUUCUUUUGAUUUGGGUUUGUUUUUUUGUUCCUUAUUUUUAACUCUUAGAAGUAUACUGGUAGAUUAUUUCCUUGAAAUCAGUCGUGUGUUUGCACAUGUGUGUAUACAUGUGUGUAUGUGUACAUGUGUGUACAUGUGCAUGCAUGUCUUCGGGAGAGUGCUUAUGAUGUGUUUAUACAUGGAUGUGGAGGUCAAAGGUUGAUGCCACGAGUCUUCCUUAGUUUUCUACAUCCUAUUUUUUUUAAUGUAUUCACUUUACAUGCGACUAACUGACCUCCCUCUCGGUCAUCUCUCUUCCCUCAAAUUUCUUUGCUCCUCCCUCCCCUUAUCCUCUGAGCAGGAACAGCCCACUGGGUACCCCCCCCCCCCACCAUGGCACAUAAAGUCUCUCUACUUGCACCCUCUCCCACUGAGGCCAGACAAGGCAGUCCAGCUAGAAGAACACAUUCCACAUACAGGCAACAGCUUUUGUGAUAACACCCCUUCCAGUUGUUCAGAACCUACAUGAAGACCAAGCUGCACAUCUGCUACACAGGUGCAGAGAGGUCUAGCCUGUGUUUGUUUUGGUUGGUGGGUCAAACUCAGAGAGCCCUAUGGAUUCAGGUUAGUUGAUACUGUUGGUCUUCCAGUAGAGUUCCUAUCUCCUUAAAGGCCACAAUUCCUCCUCCUGUUUUCCCAAAAGAGUCCUCAAGCUCCAUCCAUUGUUGGGUGCAGGUAUCUUCUGGUUCUUUGAGAAAACCAACAAGAUAGACAAACCCUUAGCCAAAAAACCAGAGAGACAAGUAUGCAAAGAAACAAAUUCAGAAAUGAAAAGAAAUACUCAACAACAUCAAGCUAAAUGGAGAGAAACUUAAAGUAAUUCCACUAAAAUCAGGGUCAAGACAACAAUGGCCAUUCUUUUUCUAUAUCUAUUCAACAUAGUACUUGAAGUUCUAACUAGAGCCAUAAGACAACUAAAGCAGAUCAAAGGUAUACAAAUCAGAAAAGUUAAAGUAUCGAUAUUUGCAGAUGAUACCUCCUAUUUUUUGACACUGUAAUUCUCACUGAACCUGG
rnacentral:lncRNA from 1 species